GAAGGUCCACGAGGCGGCCA
rnacentral:misc_RNA from 1 species